UACGUAGGGGGCAAGCGUUGUCCGGAAUCAUUGGGCGUAAAGCGCGCGUAGGCGGCCCGGUAAGUCCGCUGUAAAAGUCAAAGGCUCAACCUUUGAAUGCCGGUGGAUACUGUCUGGCUAGAGUCCGGAAGAGGCGAGUGGAACUCCCGGUGUAGCGGUGAAAUUCGUAGAUAUUCGCAAGAACACCAGUGGCGAAGGCGGCUCACUGGCCCGGUACUGACGCUGAGGUGCGAAAGCGUGGGGAGCAAACAGG
rnacentral:rRNA from 1 species